AGAGUUUGAUCCUGGCUCAGGACGAACGCUGGCGGCGUGCCUAACACAUGCAAGUCGAACGGACGAGGCCCCUUCGGGGACCGAGUUAGUGGCGGGCGGGUGAGUAACGCGUGAGCAACCUGCCUUUCAGAGGGGGACAACAGUUGGAAACGACUGCUAAUACCGCAUGAUGCAGCGAGAUCGCAUGGUCUUGCUGUCAAAGAUUUAUCGCUGAAAGAUGGGCUCGCGUCUGAUUAGCUAGUUGGAGGGGUAACGGCCCACCAAGGCGACGAUCAGUAGCCGGACUGAGAGGUUGAACGGCCACAUUGGGACUGAGAUACGGCCCAGACUCCUACGGGAGGCAGCAGUGGGGAAUAUUGGGCAAUGGGGGAAACCCUGACCCAGCAACGCCGCGUGAAGGAAGAAGGCUUUCGGGUUGUAAACUUCUUUUACCAGGACGAAGAACGUGACGGUACCUGGAGAAAAAGCCACGGCUAACUACGUGCCAGCAGCCGCGGUAAUACGUAGGUGGCAAGCGUUGUCCGGAUUUACUGGGUGUAAAGGGCGUGUAGGCGGAGCUGCAAGUCAGAUGUGAAAUCUGGGGGCUUAACCCUCAAACUGCAUUUGAAACUGUAGCCCUUGAGUAUCGGAGAGGCAGGCGGAAUUCCUAGUGUAGCGGUGAAAUGCGUAGAUAUUAGGAAGAACACCAGUGGCGAAGGCGGCCUGCUGGACGACAACUGACGCUGAGGCGCGAAAGCGUGGGGAGCAAACAGGAUUAGAUACCCUGGUAGUCCACGCUGUAAACGAUGAAUACUAGGUGUGGGGGGACUGACCCCCUCCGUGCCGGAGUUAACACAAUAAGUAUUCCACCUGGGGAGUACGACCGCAAGGUUGAAACUCAAAGGAAUUGACGGGGGCCCGCACAAGCAGUGGAUUAUGUGGUUUAAUUCGACGCAACGCGAAGAACCUUACCGGGAUUUGACAUCCUACUAACGAAGCAGAGAUGCAUUAGGUGCCCUUCGGGGAAAGUAGAGACAGGUGGUGCAUGGUUGUCGUCAGCUCGUGUCGUGAGAUGUUGGGUUAAGUCCCGCAACGAGCGCAACCCCUAUUGUUAGUUGCUACGCAAGAGCACUCUAGCGAGACUGCCGUUGACAAAACGGAGGAAGGCGGGGACGACGUCAAAUCAUCAUGCCCCUUAUGUCCCGGGCUACACACGUAAUACAAUGGCGGUCAACAAAGGGAAGCAAAGCCGCGAGGCAGAGCAAACCCCCAAAAGCCGUCUCAGUUCGGAUUGCAGGCUGCAACUCGCCUGCAUGAAGCUGGAAUUGCUAGUAAUCGUGGAUCAGAAUGCCACGGUGAAUACGUUCCCGGGCCUUGUACACACCGCCCGUCACACCAUGAGAGUCGGGAACACCCGAAGUCCGUAGUCUAACCCGCAAGGGAGGGCGCGGCCGAAGGUGGGUCUGAUAAUUGGGGUGAAGUCGUAACAAGGUA
rnacentral:rRNA from 1 species